rnacentral:RNase_P_RNA from 1 species
GGGUCCGAGGGGACCAUCGCUGCCCGGGGGGCGUUUAAGUCCGCCGGGGGGAGGAAAGUCCGGACCGCGACAGGCCGGGGCGCUGGGUAACUCCCAGGGGCGUGGGGCGUAAGCCCCUCGCUACGGAAAGCGCAACAGAAAACAGACCGCCGGGUCGGCUUGCCGGCUGUUGGAACGAGGCGGGAGCCACGUUCCAGCACCUACAAGUUCCAGCAAGCCGACUCGGUAAGGGUGAAAUGGCGGGGUAAGAGCCCACCAGCGGGGGGGAGACCCUCCGGCUUUGCAAGCCCCGCCCGCGGCAAGACCAAAUAGGGGACGAGGGUUGGCCUGUCCCGUUUGAAGUCCCGGGUUGGUCGCUCGAGCCCGAUGGAAACGUCGGGCCUAGAUGAAUGAUGGUCGCCCCUCCCCUCAACGGGAGGGGUCACAGAAUCCGGCUUACACCUCGGACCCGCUU